GGAAACUUGGAAACUACUGUUGGAUCGAGAAAUGGACGUCCGAGAUUCGUCCAUGUCACCAUGAGUUAAAAUAACUUAAAUUUUAACUCAUAGUGACAUGGACGAAUCUCGGACGUCCAUUUCUCGAUCCAACGGUAGUUUUCAAGUUUCC
rnacentral:pre_miRNA from 1 species